rnacentral:lncRNA from 1 species
CUUUGUUUUUCCCCAUUAUACUCUUUUAUGUGAAUCUAAUCCUGACCUUCAGAAUUAGCAUCUAACAUAAUUAAACUGCUUGAAAUUCAGGCUGUGCAACUAAAUCCUACGUAUAAAGGCAGGUAUUCAUCAGAGGCAGGCGUACAAAAGUGACAGGAUAGAAAGUCAACAACUUGAGAGCACAAAAAUCGAACGACAAAGCGUCAUAUGACAAAAAGUCACAGUACAAAAAAAAUCACAGAACAAAAAGUCAUAGGACAAAAAGCCACAGGAUAGAAAGUCACAAAUGUGAUAGGAUAAAACGACGC